rnacentral:rRNA from 1 species
GACGAACGCUGGCGGCGUGCUUAACACAUGCAAGUCGAACGGAAAGGCCCUGCUUUUGUGGGGUGCUCGAGUGGCGAACGGGUGAGUAACACGUGAGUAACCUGCCCUUUACUUUGGGAUAACUUCAGGAAACUGGGGCUCAUACCGGAUAGGAUCUCCUGCUGCAUGGUGGGGGUUGGAAAGUUUCGGCGGUUGAGUAUGGACUCGCGGCUUAUCAGCUUGUUGGUAGGGUAGUGGAUUACCAAGGCUUUGACGGGUAGCCGGACUGUGAGGGUGACCGGGCACAGUGGGACAGAGAGACGGCCCAGACGGCUACGGGAGGCAGGAGUGGGAAAUAGAGGAAAAAGGGCGGAAGCAGGAUGGAGCAACGCCGCGUGGGGGAUGACGGCCUUCGGGUUGGAAAAAGCGUUCGAGUGAGAAGAAACGUGAGGGAGGGUAAUGGGUAAAGAAGCACCGGCUAACUACGG